GGUUCGAUGUUGCACUCCUUAAGCAUGGAGUAGAUCUCCGAAUCCGGGCGGUUCACGACCUCCUUCGCGCCUCCACAUCGUUGGGAUCCGGCCGGCCGCCGGCCCGUUACCCCUACUUCCCCCUCCGCCGUCGCUCAUCUUUCCUCCUACUCCUCCGCUCGUCUCCAGUCGGCGGAGGAAGCGAAGAAGGAAGAGGAGGGACGGGAGGAGAUCUAGUGGGAGCCGGCGCGGGGUUCGGGUUGUAUCAAGCGAGCGUUUCAGAAAGAAUGGUCUUGGCAUUGUCAACAGACCUUAUAGGGCUCCGUCUGAAAACUUGGAAUUGAGGGGGAAAGGAUGGAAGGACAGGAUGGGAUGAAAAAUUUUGAUGUUUGGAAGUUUUUUUAGUUAAGAAAAAGGAAAAAAAAAACAGAGAAAAAUAAGAGGGAAUAGGAGAGAAAAUUUUGGGCUCCAAUUGUCUCUUUUUUUUUCCUCCCAUAGGUGAGAG
rnacentral:lncRNA from 1 species